CGAACGGGUGAGUAACACGUGAGCAACCUGCCCUUAGCUUCGGGAUAGCUCCGGGAAACCGGAAUUAAUACCGGAUAUGACUGCGGCCGACAUCGGCCAUAGUGGAAAGUUUUUCGGCUAGGGAUGGACUCGCGGCCUAUCAGCUAGUUGGUGAGGUAAUGGCUCACCAAGGCGACGACGGGUAGCCGGCCUGAGAGGGCGACCGGCCACACUGGGACUGAGACACGGCCCAG
rnacentral:rRNA from 1 species